rnacentral:rRNA from 1 species
UGGGGAAUAUUGCGCAAUGGGGGGAACCCUGACGCAGCCAUGCCGCGUGAAUGAAGAAGGCCUUAGGGUUGUAAAGUUCUUUCGGUAUUGAGGAAGGUUGAUGUGUUAAUAGCACAUCAAAUUGACGUUAAAUACAGAAGAAGCACCGGCUAACUCCGUGCCAGCAGCCGCGGUAAUACGGAGGGUGCGAGCGUUAAUCGGAAUAACUGGGCGUAAAGGGCACGCAGGCGGUUAUUUAAGUGAGGUGUGAAAGCCCCGGGCUUAACCUGGGAAUUGCAUUUCAGACUGGGUAACUAGAGUACUUUAGGGAGGGGUAGAAUUCCACGUGUAGCGGUGAAAUGCGUAGAGAUGUGGAGGAAUACCGAAGGCGAAGGCAGCCCCUUGGGAAUGUACUGACGCUCAUGUGCGAAAGCGUGGGGAGCAAACAGGAUUAGAUACCCUGGUAGUCCACGCUGUAAACGCUGUCGACUUGGGGGUUGGGGUUUAACUCUGGCGCCCGUAGCUAACGUGAUAAAUCGACCGCCUGGGGAGUACGGCCGCAAGGUUA